rnacentral:rRNA from 1 species
GAUGAACGCUGGCGGCGUGCCUAAUACAUGCAAGUCGAGCGAACAGACGAGGAGCUUGCUCCUCUGACGUUAGCGGCGGACGGGUGAGUAACACGUGGAUAACCUACCUAUAAGACUGGGAUAACUUCGGGAAACCGGAGCUAAUACCGGAUAAUAUAUUGAACCGCAUGGUUCAAUAGUGAAAGACGGUUUUGCUGUCACUUAUAGAUGGAUCCGCGCCGCAUUAGCUAGUUGGUAAGGUAACGGCUUACCAAGGCGACGAUGCGUAGCCGACCUGAGAGGGUGAUCGGCCACACUGGAACUGAGACACGGUCCAGACUCCUACGGGAGGCAGCAGUAGGGAAUCUUCCGCAAUGGGCGAAAGCCUGGCGGAGCAACGCCGCGUGAGUGAUGAAGGUCUUCGGAUCGUAAAACUCUGUUAUUAGGGAAGAACAAAUGUGUAAGUAACUAUGCACGUCUUGACGGUACCUAAUCAGAAAGCCACGGCUAACUACGUG